rfam:Glossina austeni unplaced genomic scaffold Scaffold423, whole genome shotgun sequence.
UAAAAGGAUUUUUUUAAAACCACUAAAAUUUUACCAUAAAUUUUUAU